GAUGAAGAACGUAGCGAAAUGCGAAAAGUAAUGUGAAUUGCAGAAUUCAGUGAAUCAUCGAAUCUUUGAACGCACAUUGCGCCCGCCAGUAUUCUGGCGGGCAUGCCUGUCUGAGCGUCAUUUCAACCCUCAUGCCCCUAGGGCGUGGUGUUGGGGAUCGGCCAGCGCCCGCGAGGGACGGCCGGCCCCUAAAUCUAGUGGCGGACCCGUCGUGGCCUCCCCUGCGAAGUAGUGAUAUUCCGCAUAGGAGAGCGACCAGCCCCUGCCGUUAAACCCCCAACUUUCUAAGGUUGACCUCAGAUCAGGUAGGAAUACCCGCUGAACUUAAGCAUAUCAAUAAGCGGAGGA
rnacentral:misc_RNA from 1 species